rnacentral:rRNA from 1 species
AGAGUUUGAUCCUAGCUCAGGAUGAACGCUGGCGGCGUGGAUAAGGCAUGCAAGUCGAACGGACUUUAUUUUUCCGAUGAUGAGAUUACAUCAAGUCAAAGGUCGUUUAAAGUUAGUGGCGAACGAGGUAGUAAUACAUAGGAACUUCCCCCUAAGUCGUGAACAACUCACCGAAAGGUGAGCUAAUACACGAUAGUCUCUCCGGAGUAAAGUUUUUCGCUUAGGGAAAGGCCUGUGAAGUAUCAGCUAGUUGGCGGUGUAAAGGACCACCAAGGCUAUGACGCUUAGGGGAGCUGAGAGGCUGACCCCCACCGAUGGGACUGAGACACGGCCCAUACACCUACGGGUGGCUGCAGUCGAGAAUCUUCCGCAAUGGACGAAAGUCUGACGGAGCGACGCCGCGUGAUUGAUGAAGCUCUUCGGAGUGUAAAGAUCUUUUAUGAGGGAAGAAGUUUAUUGACGGUACCUCAUGAAUAAGGGGCUCCUAAUCUCGUGCCAGCAGGAGCGGUAAUACGAGAGCCCCGAGCGUUAUCCGGAAUUAUUGGGCGUAAAGGGUGCGUAGGUGGCACUGUUAGUCGUUUGUCAAAUCCUUGGGCUUAACCUAAGAACCGCGAACGAAACGGCAGAGCUAGAGAGUGUGAGGGGUAUAGGGAACUAAUAGUGUAGGGGUGAAAUCCGUUGAUAUUAUUGGGAACACCAAAAGCGAAGGCACUAUACUGGCACAUAUCUGACACUCAAGCACGAAAGCGUGGGUAGCGAAUGGGAUUAGAUACCCCAGUAGUCCACGCCCUAAACGAUGAUCUCUAGUCUUUCGGAGUAUCGACCCUCUGAGAGACGUAGCUAACGCGUUAAGAGAUCCGCCUGGGAAAUACGGCCGCAAGGCUAAAACUCAAAGGAAUAGACGGGGACUUGCACAAGUAGUGGAUUAUGUGGUUUAAUUCGACGAUAAACGAAGAACCUUACCAAGGUUAGAAAUCAACGUGAAAGCCCUGAGAAACCAGGGCCCUCGCAAGACUAGUUGACAGGUGAUGCAUGGCCGUCGUCAGUUCGUGGUUUGAAUUGUUCCCUUAAGUGGGGUAACGAACGCAACCCUCGUCGUGUGUUAUAAGUGUCACACGAGACUGCCCCGACCCAA